AUUGAACGCUGGCGGAAUGCUUUACACAUGCAAGUCGAACGGCAGCACGGACUUCGGUCUGGUGGCGAGUGGCGAACGGGUGAGUAAUGUAUCGGAACGUGCCCAGUCGUGGGGGAUAACGUAGUGAAAAUUACGCUAAUACCGCAUACGAUCUAUGGAUGAAAGCGGGGGAUCGCAAGACCUCGCGCGAUUGGAGCGGCCGAUAUCAGAUUAGGUAGUUGGUGGGGUAAAGGCCCACCAAGCCAACGAUCUGUAGCUGGUCUGAGAGGACGACCAGCCACACUGGAACUGAGACACGGUCCAGACUCCUACGGGAGGCAGCAGUGGGGAAGUUUGGACAAUGGGCGAAAGCCUGAUCCAGCCAUUCCGCGUGCAGGAUGAAGGCCCUAGGGUUGUAAACUGCUUUUGUACAGAACGAAAAGGUUUCUACUAAUACUAGGAGCUCAUGACGGUACUGUAAGAAUAAGCACCGGCUAACUACGUGCCAGCAGCCGCAGUAA
rnacentral:rRNA from 1 species